rnacentral:tRNA from 1 species
GGAGGUGUCUGGGCACCUGGUGGGCCCCACCGCCUUCAAAGCGGCUGGCUGCGGCGAUCCCGCAGCGGCGGGUUCGAUUCCCGUCCACCUCCGCCA